AAUAGAUAUUUCUAUUUUGUUUCUAAUCCUUGCUGUAUGCAAUGCUAACUCAACUCUGGAAAAUUAUCUAAUGCAUUGCAUUUUGUAUAUAUUAAUUUGUUAUUCCUAUGCUAAACAAUCUCUUGGGCUGUGUUUCUUCUGUACUCAUUGGGGCAAUAAUUAUUAAAAAUCAGUUAAAUUGGGAUUGCAGUUCUUCCUCUGACUUAACAAUGUGAAUUGUUCUAUUAAUUUUUAUUUUUGCUUUAUUUUAAAAUAAAGCAGGGUUCAAUUUAUGCCAUAAAUAGUACAACUUUAUAUUCCCAAGUUUUGAAAUUGUUUUCUUUAUAGAUUUAUUUGUAUUUUUUCAUACCUUUAUUCUGUCCUCUUCACAUUAUCAAGACCCAAAAUUUCAAGGAAAUGAUUCUUUAAAAGAUUGACUUAGUCUGUAAUCUGUACUACCCCUAAGCUAAAUAAGAAUUUUCUAGGACUUCUUCCCCCUAAAUAAAAAUGACUGAUAGACAGUAUUUUAUAUUAAUCCUUUUGAUUGUUUUAUAUUUUGAAGUAAAUUACUCAGUCCAAGAUUUUCAAAGUUUAAAACUGGGGGACAAAAUAUAUAAUUAAACUUCAGGGGUAAAUCAAACUAGGGUAUUUUAGUUUCAUAAAAAUUUGAGUAUUGUGUGAAGAUUUUUAAAAGCUUGAGGAACACCAUUUUGCUAAGAGAAUACAUUUAAUCUCUGAUUGAAAUACAAAAUUUUUAUUAUACUGUUAUUACAUAACUUAUUUACCCCCAAACUCUCAGCAUAUAUUCCUUGAAUUAUAUUAAAUUAGAUGAAUUUCUAGGCAGCUGAAAUAGAUUUACUUUUUUUCAACUGAUAUAUUUUAAUAUGUAAUAAAUUUGAAUUUCAAAAAUUCUUAGAAAUAGCAUCCAUGUUGUCUGCAUGUUGUAAAUUGAACCCUGUUUAGUCAUGUUAACAUUGGCUGACUUUUAGCACCUCUGCUCAUUUUUUUAAAUAAGGUGGUUUAUUCUUGGGCAAAGGGCUCUUCAUUUGUGGAGAAUCAAUUAUUUACCUCUGGUACUUGUGGAUUUUUUAGUGAAUCAUUUGGUAAUAGUUAAGUCACUUUAAUUAUGUACUUGUACUACAGAAUAAUUUUUUCAACCCAUUUCCUUUUUAGUAUAUUCUAUCAUAAUAGUACUGUAGAAGUUCUUUUACUGUCAUAUAAUGUAAAAAGUUAGAAGGGACUUUUCUCCAUAUAAUUUACCAAAGAACUUAAAGAAUUUAAUUACGUAGGAAUUUUACCUUGCAUGAAAGGUACUUUGUGCAUACUUUUUUUGGAAUAAUUUAUCUGUUUGAUUUUUUAUCCUGGGGUUAUGUUUGCUUUGUUAAAUGUAUUGACUCACUUUCCGUUUUUUUUCUGUGUUAUGAAUUGAAUAUGUAACAUGGAAUAUCUGAGCCUGAAUAUUUGAAAGACUUCAAUUAAUAAAUUUCUUAGAACUGAGAACGUUAUUGAAAGGAUAGUUCUUUUAUAACAUAAAAAGAAAGCAAUAUUACUACAAACUAUUGAAUAUAGUUCCCUGUGCUACACAGUAGGAACUUGUUGUUUAUUUUGUUUAUAGUAGCUUGUAUCUGCUAAUCUGAAACUUCUAAUUUAAUUUCUCUCCUCCCUCCUUCCCCUUUGAUAACCAUAAAUUGUUUUCUGUGUCUGCCGUACACCAGAAACUAGCACAGCAUUGUAAAUCAACGAUACUUUAGUGUAAAAAAGAAAGAAAACAAGAAUGUUAUCAGCAAAUUUUUCUUUUUGUCAUGCCAGUUUCUAUAGUUACAUUUUUUGGGAAAGAUGUUAACUCUAUUCAACUUUCCAGACUUAUGUCAGUUUUACAGUUAUACAUAAUUAUUUUUUAUCUGCAGAAACCACUGUUAUAUCUCCUAUUUUAUAUAUAAUUUUAUUUGUUUCCAGUAGGAAUCUUUCAGUAUUUUUUAAUGGAAGUAUAGUUGACUUACAGUAUUAUAUUAGUUUCAGGUGUACAACACAGGAAUUCAAUAUUUUAUACAUUUCACACCAAAGUCAUUACAAUCUUUUUGACUAUAUUCUCUUGCUAUACAUUACAUCCCUGUGACUUACUUAUUUUAUAACUGGUAGUUUUUUAAUCCCAAUAUAUAUCUCAAGGUAUACAAAAGGAAAGCUCACUUCUCAAUUUUUUCUUCAUUCAAAUGGAGACUUUGCCAUUUUAUAGACUGUAAAGUUUUUGCAGUUUAAAAAAAUGACAGUUUAUCUCCCCACAUUAGUGUCUAGUUUUGUAAUAAGACUUAGCAUAAAAUAUGUCAUUGGAAAAUACGUAGAAUGUCAAUGAAACAUUGGAAAAAAAUCAUAGAAUCUCCUAAAGAUGUCUCUGUGAAGACCUGUUUUCCAUAUGAAGCUUAAUGUUAUCAAGUGUGCUAGGACUCCGUGAGCAUUCUGAACUCAACUAUGUUUCCUAUCAUCCAAUCCCAUACUUACUCUGAAGUAUCCUGAACCUCAUAAAACUAUCACCUUGCUCUUCCUCAGUCUACAGACAUUUUUGGCUUCAGGUUAGGCAGUUAUGUGGUGGCCUAAAAAGGGAAAGCAUAAGAAUUAAGCCUAGAACCUCCAAGGCUGGCGCUGGUUAAAGAACCAUUUUGUAUUAAAGGCUAACUGAAUAUCUUGGCUCUGAAAUUUUGUCCCUAAGUUUCAUCUAGUCCUUGAAGGUAACUGCUGCUUGUAUCAUAUUGGAGAGGACAGGGCCAGGGUAUGUAUUGGAUAUUAUUCACACUUUAACAAUCUAACCCAACCAUGAAAAAUCAACUUUUUUUGCUGCCUGACAGUACAGCUGAGAUGAUAACAGUAGUUUUUUAAAAUAUACUUAACAAUUACAUUUUUCCUGGCACACUGUGUCUGUCGUUUAUAAAUAUUUUUCUCUUACUCAGAAACCUCAAUUAGCUACUUCCUGUUAUUUCCCUGUUCUACAGACGAGGGCACUACGAGUUAAAGUAAGAUAUCUGUUAGUUACACAGCUAGAGAAUGACAGAGCCGUGAUUUACACGCAGGUAGCCCACUCCACUGUUUCUCCUCUUCAACACGGUUCUAUAGUUCUGUUAAGACAAUUUCCUGAUAGUUUUAAAGAUUCAAAAACAAAUUUUACUGUGUGAUUUGUAACUAGAUAAUCUGGUUAUGACCCUGUUCUAUCUACGUGGUAACCUUGAAAAGAGAAGGCUUAUAUUAAGUUCUGUCCAUCUUGCUACCCAUCACCCAAACAUAAUGUAACAGUGCCUGGAAGUCUACUUUCCUCAAACAGCAAGCUUAAGUGAGAGUAACUAGAGCAGUCAGUGGAGUUCCCUAACCUAUCCACCCAAAGGUUAGCUUCACUGUUUCCUGACUGACAGCUAACUCAGGUAAAUGAUACUGACAGUGACCUCCUUGUUCAUGCAUGAGAAUAAGAGCCUAAAAAGACAUAACCUUAGUCUUGUGAAUUUAACAGCAAAAAUAUAGCAGACUACAAUGCAACUGUAGCAUCGCUAAAGAAAGGUACAUGUACAUGUGAAAUACAUAGAGUGAUUUUUUUGCUUGUUCAUACCUUACAAUUAAUUUUUAUUAGCAAAAUCUUAAUGAGCAAUGUUUCCAAAGUCAAUGAGUUUCCUGUAGUCAGUUAGCAAUUUCUGUAAAUCACUUAAAAAAAAAGAUUGGUUAUCAAUUUAUUUGUUCAUUAUUUAUAUUUUAUAAAAUUUCAGAAAUAGAAAAAUAUAUAAAGCUUUUUAUUAUUUUAAGUUUUUAUAAAAAUAGUCCUAAAAUGUGUAUCUUUGUUAAAAUAUUCAACAAAUUUCUCAUGAUAUACUUAUGGGUAAAAUAUGGUCCAAAUGUUAGCAUUGUUUGGUAGAUUUUGAAAUUACAUGAUUAAACUUCUCUAGAGAUUAUUCUGUUUCAUUAUGAUUCUAUUUAAUUCUGAAAGUACAUUUCUAGCUGGAUUCUAUAGUCUACAACUCUGCUUAUGUCCCAUUUUAAUUACUAACUUUCGUAUGGGAGGAAUGAUUAUCAAAUUGAUUACAUGAAACUGUGAGGGGGAAAUAAUACUAGAGAUUAAAGAAUAAAAAUUCAAAAGUAUAAUGACUUAAUGACUGCUGUGCUAAAACAAAUAGAAAUAAUAACUCUAUUUAAUGAACACCUCCUAAGUUUUAGACAUUAUACUAAAUAACUUUCAUAUGGUAUUUGUUAAUAUAGGAAGGAUUUUACCUCCAAGGCCCCUUUUUACCUCUCAAAUGUCUGAAUUAGCAGUUACUCAGGGAAUGAUUUUUCUUCGUUAACAAAAAACAGAAGUAAUUUUUUUAAGUCAGUUUAAAUGAAGAUAAUGUCCAAGUGCUGUUUUCAUUAGUUCUCCUGUACCUGAGUCCCAGUGAUUUCUUUUUUACAUUGAAGUGUUCUAACAGAACUUAAAUUUGUUCUGAAUCAUUAUAUUCUAAAUCACUAACUCAUUAAAUCCUACAAUUUUAAAUUAGCUCUCGCCCCUUUAUUUUUCAAGGAAAGAACUUAAGCCUCAAAGAAGUUAAAUGGCAUAUCCAAAGUAGUAUCCCAUGGCAGUGACUUAGCCAACACCAGAAUCCAGGUGUCUUGAGUAUAUGCUAUACAGCAUGUCCCUGCUCUCGGAUUGUGUGGUCUCUUCUUGUGCUGUCUUCCCAAUUCGUUUAUAUUUAAACUUUGAAAAAUAAAUUCCCAGAGGUUUAUUUGAAGUUAAAUGAAUUUGAAAAGGUAUGUAUGAAAUUAAGUAGAAUUUUAAGUUUUAAAAUUAUUCUAAUUCACUAUAAAACCCAAAUUAGUACUGGUAUUUCUAGUUUAUAUUCCCCAACAUUCAAUCCGAAAUGCUGCUCUUACAUCUGUAGAAGUUCAUCUUUAUAUUUAAUCCACAACAUGGCCAUUGAAAGAAUAAAAGCUCAUCUUGGAAGAGAAGAUGAAUCAAGUGUGCAGUCAUACCGUUUUUACAGAUGACUAAAACCUGAAGAGUAUAACAUAUUGUAUAUUCAAACUUUAAUUCUAUUUGUGAAUGUAUUUUCUGUCCAAUCAUAAUAAAAUCUGUUCAGCAAA